UAAUAGUGUAUAUUAAAGUUGUUGCAGUUAAAAAGCUCGUAGUUGAAUGUUGGUGUCGAACGAGCGGUCAGCCUCGGCUGUACUGCUCUCUCGACUCCUUCCUUCUGUGGACUACGUCGCACUUUACUGUGUGGCGCUAGGACGCAGAUCGUUUACUGUGAAAAAAUUAGAGUGUUCAAAGCAGGCCGUACGCUUGAAUACAUUAGCAUGGAAUAAUGGAAUAGGACGUCGGGCCUAUUUUGUUGGUUCUAGGACCGUCGUAAUGAUUAAUAGGGACAGUUGGGGCCGUUUAUAUUCCGUAGUCAGAGGUGAAAUUCUUGGAUUUACGGAAGAUAAACUACUGCGAAAGCAUUCGGCAAGGAUGUUUNCGUUA
rnacentral:rRNA from 1 species